CACAAUGGGCGCAAGCCUGAUGCAGCCAUGCCGCGUGUAUGAAGAAGGCCUUCGGGUUGUAAAGUACUUUCAGCGGGGAGGAAAGGAGUAAAGUUAAUACCUUUGCUCAUUGACGUUACCCGCAGAAGAAGCACCGGCUAACUCCGUGCCAGCAGCCGCGGUAAUACGGAGGGUGCAAGCGUUAAUCGGAAUUACUGGGCGUAAAGCGCACGCAGGCGGUUUGUUAAGUCAGAUGUGAAAUCCCCGGGCUCAACCUGGGAACUGCAUCUGAUACUGGCAAGCUUGAGUCUCGUAGAGGGGGGUAGAAUUCCAGGUGUAGCGGUGAAAUGCGUAGAGAUCUGGAGGAAUACCGGUGGCGAAGGCGGCCCCCUGGACGAAGACUGACGCUCAGGUGCGAAAGCGUGGGGAGCAAACAGGAUU
rnacentral:rRNA from 1 species